CAAGGAUUCCCCUAGUAACUGCGAGUGAAGCGGGAAAAGCUCAAAUUUAAAAUCUGGUAGUCUUUGGCUGCCCGAGUUGUAAUCUGGAGAAGCGCUUUCCGCGCGGGACCGUGUACAAGUCUCCUGGAACGGAGCGUCAUAGAGGGUGAGAAUCCCGUCUUUGACACGGACUACCAGUGCUUUGUGAUGCGCUCUCAAAGAGUCGAGUUGUUUGGGAAUGCAGCUCAAAAUGGGUGGUAAACUCCAUCUAAAGCUAAAUAUUGGCGAGAGACCGAUAGCGAACAAGUACCGUGAGGGAAAGAUGAAAAGCACUUUGGAAAGAGAGUUAAACAGUACGUGAAAUUGCUGAAAGGGAAACGCUUGAAGUCAGUCGCGUUUGCUAGGACUCAGCCUUGCCUCGGCUUGGUGCAUUUCCUAGUAGGACGGGUCAACAUUACUUUUGGCUGGCGGAAAAAGGUCAGAGGGAAUGUGGCACCUUCGGGUGGUGGUUAUAGCCCUCUUGGCUAUACCCGUGGCUGGAAGUGAGGAAUUCAGCACGCUUUCAUGGCGGGGCUUCGGCCACCUUCGUGCUUAGGAUGCUGGCGUAAUGGCUUUAAACGACCCGUCUUGAAACACGGACCAAGGAGUCUAACAUGCCUGCGAGUGUUUGGGUGGAAAACCCGAGCGCGUAAUGAAAGUGAUAGUUGGGACCUCUGUCGUGGAGGGCACCGACGCCCGGACCAGACCUUCUGUGACGGAUCCGCGGUAGAGCAUGUAUGUUGGGACCCGAAAGAUGGUGAACUAUGCCUGAAUAGGGUGAAGCCAGAGGAAACUCUGGUGGAGGCUCGUAGCGAUUCUGACGUGCAAAUCGAUCGUCAAAUUUGGGUAUAGGGGCGAAAGACUAAU
rnacentral:rRNA from 1 species